rnacentral:rRNA from 1 species
AACGAACGCUGGCGGCAGGCUUAACACAUGCAAGUCGAACGAUGUAGCAAUACAUAGUGGCGCACGGGUGAGUAACGCGUGGGAACGUGCCUUUUAGUUUGGAAUAACACCGGGAAACUGGUGCUAAUGCCAAAUACGCCCUUCGGGGGAAAGAUUUAUCGCUAAAAGAUCGGCCCGCGUCAGAUUAGCUAGUUGGUGGGGUAAUGGCCUACCAAGGCUACGAUCUGUAGCUGUUCUGAGAGGAAGAUCAGCCACACUGGGACUGAGACACGGUCCAGACUCCUACGGGAGGCAGCAGUGGGGAAUAUUGGACAAUGGUGGAAACACUGAUCCAGCCAUGCCGCGUGAGUGAUGAAGGCCUUAGGGUUGUAAAGCUCUUUUACCAGGGAAGAUGAUGACGGUACCUGGAGAAUAAGCACCGGCUAACUUCGUGCCAGCCGCCGCCGUAA